rnacentral:rRNA from 1 species
GACGAACGCUGGCGGCGUGCCUAAUACAUGCAAGUUGAGCGCUGAAGGUUGGUCCUUGUACCAACUGGAUGAGCAGCGAACGGGUGAGUAACGCGUGGGGAAUCUGCCUUUGAGCGGGGGACAACAUUUGGAAACGAAUGCUAAUACCGCAUAAAAACUUUAAACACAAGUUUUAAGUUUGAAAGAUGCAAUUGCAUCACUCAAAGAUGAUCCCGCGUUGUAUUAGCUAGUUGGUGAGGUAAAGGCUCACCAAGGCGAUGAUACAUAGCCGACCUGAGAGGGUGAUCGGCCAAAUUGGGACUGAGAAACGGCCCAAACUUCUACGGGAGGGAGCAGUAGGGAAUCUUCGGCAAUGGACGAAAGUCUGACCGAGCAACGCCGCGUGAGUGAAGAAGGUUUUCGGAUCGUAAAACUCUGUUGGUAGAGAAGAACGUUGGUGAGAGUGGAAAGCUCAUCAAGUGACGGUAACUACCCAGAAAGGGACGGCUAACUACGUG